rnacentral:rRNA from 1 species
GAUGAACGCUGGCGGCGUGCUUAAUACAUGCCAGUCGAACGGAAAGGCGCUGCUUUUGUGGGGUGCUCGUGUGGCGCGCGGGUGUGUAACACGUGUGUAACAUCCCCUUGACUUUGUGAUAACUUCAGGAAACUGGGGCUAAUACCGGAUAGGAGCUCCUGCUGCAUGUUGGGGGAUGGAAAAUUUCGGCGGUUGGGGAUGGACUCGAGGCUUAUCAGCUGGUUGGUGGGGUAGUGGCUUACCAAGGCUUUGACGGGUAGGCGGCCUGAGAGGGGGACCGGGCACAUGACGACUAAGGUACGGACCAGACUCGUACGGGAGGCAGCAGGGGGGAAUAUGGCACAAUGGGGGGAAGCCUGAUGCAGCAACGCCGCGUGCGGGAUGAUGGCCUACGGGUUGAAAACAACUUUCGCAGGUGACGAAGCGUGAGUGACGGUAAUGGGUAAAGAAGCACCGGCUAACUACGUG